rnacentral:rRNA from 1 species
GACGAACGCUGGCGGCGUGCUUAACACAUGCAAGUCGAACGGAAAGGCCCUGCUUGCAGGGUACUCGAGUGGCGAACGGGUGAGUAACACGUGGGUGAUCUGCCCUGCACUUCGGGAUAAGCCUGGGAAACUGGGUCUAAUACCGGAUAGGAGCCAUUUUUAGUGUGAUGGUUGGAAAGUUUUUUCGGUGUAGGAUGAGCUCGCGGCCUAUCAGCUUGUUGGUGGGGUAAUGGCCUACCAAGGUGGCGACGGGUAGCCGGCCUGAGAGGGUGGACGGCCACAUUGGGACUGAGAUACGGCCCAGACUCCUACGGGAGGCAGCAGUGGGGAAUAUUGCACAAUGGGCGCAAGCCUGAUGCAGCGACGCCGCGUGGGGGAUGACGGCCUUCGGGUUGUAAACUCCUUUCGCUAGGGACGAAGCUUUUUGUGACGGUACCUAGAUAAGAAGCACCGGCUAACUACGUG